rnacentral:rRNA from 1 species
AGAGCGAACGCUGGCGGCAGGCUUAACACAUGCAAGUCGAGCGGGCGUAGCAAUACGUCAGCGGCAGACGGGUGAGUAACGCGUGGGAACAUACCUUUUGGUUCGGAACAACCCAGGGAAACUUGGGCUAAUACCGGAUAAGCCCUUACGGGGAAAGAUUUAUCGCCGAAAGAUUGGCCCGCGUCUGAUUAGCUAGUUGGUGAGGUAACGGCUCACCAAGGCGACGAUCAGUAGCUGGUCUGAGAGGAUGAUCAGCCACAUUGGGACUGAGACACGGCCCAAACUCCUACGGGAGGCAGCAGUGGGGAAUAUUGGACAAUGGGCGCAAGCCUGAUCCAGCCAUGCCGCGUGAGUGAUGAAGGCCCUAGGGUUGUAAAGCUUCUUUUGUGGCGGGAAGAUAAUGACGGUACCGCAAGAAUAAGCCCGGCUAACUUCGCGCCAGCAGCCGC